GACGUAGGGCGCGAGCGUUGUCCGGAUUUAUUGGGCGUAAAGAGCUCGUAGGCGGCUUGUCGCGUCGACUGUGAAAUCCCGCGGCUCAACUCCGGGCCUGCAUUCGAUACGGGCUGACUAGAGUUCGGCAGGGGAGACUGGAAUUCCUGGUGUAGCGGUGAAAUGCGCAGAUAUCAGGAGGAACACCGGUGGCGAAGGCGGGUCUCUGGGCCGAUACUGACGCUGAGGAGCGAAAGCGUGGGGAGCGAACAGG
rnacentral:rRNA from 1 species